GAUCAUGGCUCAGGACGAACGCUGGCGGCGCGCCUAACACAUGCAAGUCGAACGAGCGAGAGAGAGCUUGCUUUCUCAAGCGAGUGGCGAACGGGUGAGUAACGCGUGAGGAACCUGCCUCAAAGAGGGGGACAACAGUUGGAAACGACUGCUAAUACCGCAUAAGCCCACGGCUCGGCAUCGAGCAGGGGGAAGAGGAGCAAUCCGCUUUGAGAUGGCCUCGCGUCCGAUUAG
rnacentral:rRNA from 1 species